CCUACGGGUGGCAGCAGUGGGGAAUAUUGGACAAUGGACCAAGAGUCUGAUCCAGCAAUUCUGUGUGCACGAUGACGUUUUUCGGAAUGUAAAGUGCUUUCAGUUGGGAAGAAAAAAAUGACGGUACCAACAGAAGAAGUGACGGCUAAAUACGUGCCAGCAGCCGCGGUAAUACGUAUGUCACAAGCGUUAUCCGGAUUUAUUGGGCGUAAAGCGCGUCUAGGUGGUUAUGUAAGUCUGAUGUGAAAAUGCAGGGCUCAACUCUGUAUUGCGUUGGAAACUGUAUAACUAGAGUACUGGAGAGGUAAGCGGAACUACAAGUGUAGAGGUGAAAUUCGUAGAUAUUUGUAGGAAUGCCGAUGGGGAAGCCAGCUUACUGGACAGAUACUGACGCUAAAGCGCGAAAGCGUGGGUAGCAAACAGGAUUAGAUACCCCUGUAGUC
rnacentral:rRNA from 1 species